AACUGCCAUAAUGGUCAUAGCAGAAGUGCUCACGUCAUGGCCCUGUCAGAUUUUACCAAAUCUGCAAAUUCUGCU
rnacentral:ribozyme from 1 species